ensembl:rRNA 5S_rRNA 5S ribosomal RNA
GCCUACGACCAUAUCACCCUGAAUGCGCCCGAUCUCGUCUGAUCUCGGAAGCUAAGCAUGGUCGAGCCUGAUUAGUACUUGGAUGGGAGACUCCCUGGGAAUACUAGGUGUUGUAGGCU